rfam:Xenorhabdus bovienii SS-2004 chromosome, complete genome
GCCAUCUCAACGGGGUGCUGCUGUUGUAAAACCGUAUUGCUGAGAAAAACCCGUCGAACCUGAUCCGGCUAGUACCGACGUAGGACUUUGAGACGCUAAUCAUU